rnacentral:rRNA from 1 species
AACGAACGCUGGCGGCGCGUUUUAAGCAUGCAAGUCGAACGGCAGUCUGGGUAGCAAUACCUUGACGAGAGUGGCGAACGGGUGAGUAACACGUAGGUGAUCUACCCCUGGAUGGGGGAUAGUCCGUGGAAACACGGGGUAAUACCGCAUGAGGCCUUGGGGGUAAAGCCCUGAGGUGAAAGCUCCAAUUGGAGCGUCUGGGGAUGAGCCUGCGGCCCAUUAGGCAGUUGGCGGGUAAAGCCCACAAACCGACGAUGGGUAGCCGGCCUGAGAGGGUGUACGGCCACACUGGAACUGAGACACGGUCCAGACUCCUACGGGAGGCAG